AUGCAGUCGAGCGGAACGAAGAGGUGCUUGCACCUCUGGCGUCGAGCGGCGGACGGGUGAGUAAUGCUUGGGAAUAUGCCUUAUGGUGGGGGACAACAGUUGGAAACGACUGCUAAUACCGCAUGAUGUCUACGGACCAAAGUGGGGGACCUUCGGGCCUCACGCCAUAAGAUUAGCCCAAGUGGGAUUAGCUAGUUGGUGAGGUAAUGGCUCACCAAGGCGACGAUCCCUAGCUGGUUUGAGAGGAUGAUCAGCCACACUGGGACUGAGACACGGCCCAGACUCCUACGGGAGGCAGCAGUGGGGAAUAUUGCACAAUGGGCGCAAGCCUGAUGCAGCCAUGCCGCGUGUGUGAAGAAGGCCUUCGGGUUGUAAAGCACUUUCAGUAAGGAGGAAAGGUUAAGUGUUAAUAGCACUUAGCUGUGACGUUACUUACAGAAGAAGCACCGGCUAACUCCGUGCCAGCUGCC
rnacentral:rRNA from 1 species